rnacentral:rRNA from 1 species
GAUGAACGCUGGCGGCGUGCCUAAUACAUGCAAGUCGAACGAAACUUCUUUAUCACCGAGUGCUUGCACUCACCGAUAAAGAGUUGAGUGGCGAACGGGUGAGUAACACGUGGGCAACCUGCCCAAAAGAGGGGGAUAACACUUGGAAACAGGUGCUAAUACCGCAUAACCAUAGUUACCGCAUGGUAACUAUGUAAAAGGUGGCUAUACUACCGCUUUUGGAUGGGCCCGCGGCGCAUUAGCUAGUUGGUAGGGUAAAGGCUUACCAAGGCAAUGAUGCGUAGCCGAAUUGAGAGGUUGAUCGGCCACAUUGGGACUGAGACACGGCCCACACUCCUACGGGAGGCAGCAGUAGGGAAUCUUCCACAAAGGGCGAAAGCCUGAUGGAGCAACGCCGCGUGGGUGAAGAAGGUCUUCGGAUCGUAAAACCCUGUUGUUAGAGAAGAAAGUGCGUGAGAGUAACUGUUCACGUUUCGACGGUAUCUAACCAGAAAGCCACGGCUAACUACGUG